rnacentral:lncRNA from 1 species
GGGAGUGGUGAGAGCAUUCGCCUAUAUGUCUGUGUCCCAGGUGAAAGCUGGAAGAGGGCAUCAGAUUCUCUGCAGCUGUACUUACAGACUGGCACGUAGAUGAUGGGACUCGAACCCUGGUCCUCUGGAAGAGCAGCCAAUGCUUUUAACCACUGACUCAUUUCUAGCCUCUCUGCGUGUGUGUGUGUUUCAGAGACAGGAUUUCUUUGUGUAGCCCUGGCUGUCCUAGAACUCUUUCUGCAGACCAGGCUGGCUUCCAACUAAGAGAGCCACCUGCCUUUGCCUCCUGAAUCCUGGGAUUAAAGGCAUGUACCACUCACUGCCUGGCUUAAAGUGGCUUUCUUUGGUCCCUUUUCCUAUCUAACAUUCUGAUGUGUCUCUACAAUGGGUGAAGGGGUUGCUUCCUAUUUUCCCAGGUAUGAACUGUGACUGCUUCCGUGAGUAUGGCCUGGGUACUU